CCUACGGGAGGCAGCAGUGGGGAAUAUUGCACAAUGGGGGAAACCCUGAUGCAGCGACGCCGCGUGAAGGAAGAAGUAUUUCGGUAUGUAAACUUCUAUCAGCAGGGAAGAAAAUGACGGUACCUGACUAAGAAGCCCCGGCUAACUACGUCCCAGCAGCCGCGGUAAUACGUAGGGGGCAAGCGUUAUCCGGAAUGACUGGGUGUAAAGGGAGCGUAGGCGGCGCUGCAAGUCAGAAGUGAAAGCCCGGGGCUCAACUCCGGUACUGCUUUUGAAACUGUGUUGCUAGAUUGCAGGCGAGGUAAGUGGAAUUUCUAGUGUAGCGGUGAAAUGCGUAGAUAUUAGGAGGAACACCAGUGGCGAAGGCGGCUUACUGGACUGUAAAUGACGCUGAGGCUCGAAAGCGUGGGGAGCAAACAGGAUUAGAUACCCCAGUAGUC
rnacentral:rRNA from 1 species